UACGUAGGUGGCAAGCGUUGUCCGGAAUUAUUGGGCGUAAAGCGCGCGCAGGCGGUUCUUUAAGUCUGAUGUGAAAGCCCACGGCUCAACCGUGGAGGGUCAUUGGAAACUGGAGAACUUGAGUACAGAAGAGGAAAGCGGAAUUCCACGUGUAGCGGUGAAAUGCGUAGAGAUGUGGAGGAACACCAGUGGCGAAGGCGGCUUUCUGGUCUGUAACUGACGCUGAGGUGCGAAAGCGUGGGGAGCAAACAGG
rnacentral:rRNA from 1 species